UUAGGAGUUUUUUUUCAAUACAUAAAAACAAAUUAGGUGUAAUAAAUAUACUGUAUUGGAAGCACUUUUGCUUUGUCAAAUUUAAAUAUUAUUUAAUCAUAAAAUUGUGUUUGGUGGCUAGGGUUGAACUAAUUGUUGCUAACUCUGUGUGUAUAUAUGUGUGUGAGAGAGAUUGUGGAUGUUGUGUGUGUAUUAAGUAUGAGUAAAUCACAGACUGCUGAGUUAGGCAAAACUUAAUUCAUUCUCAACUCAUUUAGGCAUCAAAAUUUUAUUUUGUCUUUGUGUCUAACUGAGCAUUGAAUAAAAUCGCAGCUAAUUUCAAAUUCCCUUUGUCAUCAUGGUUUUCAGCCAAAAGUCUAUAAUAAAUGGUCAGAAGAUGAGCUGAGACUGAAUGAAUAGU
rnacentral:lncRNA from 1 species